rnacentral:lncRNA from 1 species
CCUUAGGCAAUCCACCUGCCUUGGCCUCCCAAAGUGCUGGGAUUACAGGCGUGAGCCACCGCACCUGGCUCAUUACCCCUUUUUAAUUAGUAGCAUUGCUCUUCUCUCUCUGACUAUACGUACUCUCUCUGACUUCUAAAUUUAUCAGCAGCUUCUUCUGAAGCUGGCCUGGUACCCGGUGAGCUCUACGGGACUCUGAGCUGAGUUUAGAGGAGGGAAAGGCAGUUGAAGGGAUUUCUUGUUGGCUACAAUGCUUAGACACCUCAGGGGGUGAAGCACAUGCUCUGACUGUUACCAGUAAGUUCCCAGGCCAACCAGUGGGUAGUUCUUACUACCACACUUGGCUUGCUAGGGCUUUUGCAUGAAAAUGAAUGUGAGGACAUAAGAUCAGUUGUGGCAGGAAGACACAUAACUAACCACACAGGGGACCAACAUAAAAGCUGUUUCCUCUGGUAUAGGCUGACUAAUGCACGGGUAGCCUGGCUGGGGCUCCACAGGCAGGAAAACAUUUUGAUAAGAUGAUUAUAACAGUAGCCAUAACAGUAGCCAACUUUAUUGUGUAUAUUCUAUGUUGUUUAAUUCUCACUACAGGUCCUAUGGUUCUCCUCAUUUCACAGAUGAAGAAACAGUAGUUCAGCAACUUGCCCAAACUCACAGAAGUAGGAAGUCACAGAGCCUAGAUCUGAACUCAAGUCAACUGGCUAUUCCCCAUGUAAGGGGUCUUAUUAAUGAUAGUCUGCAUUUGUUAAGGUGCAGGCUGAGCACAGAGACCUCAAAAUUUAGUGGCUGAAAUAAGAGAGAGGUUUAUUUUGCUCUCACUUAGCAGUCCAGAGGUGAGCAGUCCAAGUUGGUAGGGUCACUGGGCUCCACAUGGCCAUUCAGGGACCUAGGUUCCUUCCAUCUUGUUGCCCCACCACCACUUAGAGUGUGGUUCAAUCACCAAAGCUGGUCAUUGCCUUCUCUGUGUUCCUGACCAUGGGGAGGAGAAAGAGCAAGUCUAAGGCAAGCAGAUUAUUUCAAGUAGGUGUUGUAGAAAUUGCAUACGUCACUUCUAUUCAUAUUCUAUUGGCAUAACUUAGUCAUACGGCCACACCUAGCUGCAGGGAAGUCUGGGAAAUAUGGUCUCUAUCUGGGCAGCCAUAUGAACAGUUAAAAUUCUAUAAAACUCUGUAACUACAGAAGAGAGAAUGCAGUUUGGGGCAAUCAGUUUGCAGUCUACCAUAAAGACCAUCUUCUCUUUUGUGAAUAUUAAGACUGGGCUACCACAGGACAGUGUUAAAUGCAUUCAUGAUCAUAUGCAGACAUGGGGUCAUCUAUUCAUUUCAUAAAUAUGAAGCCCUUCCUUUGCCGGUACUACUGUAGUGAGCUGCUUGGGGGCUGCCAAGAUGCCUGAUUCACUGUCUCUUCCUGAGGCACAGCCGGGAGAUGAGACAUCAGCCAGGAAUCAGGAAAGAGGAAAGAGAGUUGACUGGUGGAUUUCAUUCACUCAUUCAACCUGGUGUAUUUACACACAUCUUGUGCUGAGAAAGGACUUGAGGUAGCCCACUUGUAGUAGGAUACAGCUGGCAAAAUGCUGUUCGUGUGCGUAAUCUCUUUCACCUUCUCACCCACUCUGAGGGAGGCAGGGUAGUUUCAGAGGAGUUCUGGAAGCAUCAGAAAUCCCAUGACUGGUGAGUGGUGAGGGCAGGAUUUGGAGCUGGUCUUGAGGGUGGUAGAAAGGGCAAAGUGCAGAUUCGAAGUUGGGAGAGUCCACAUUCGAGGCCCGGCUCUUCUGAUCCUAACGAAUAGCUUCACUCACCCCUGGAAGCCUCAGUUUCCUCAUCUGGAAAACUGAUGCUCAGGCUACUUAUGUCAAAGGGCCAGGAGGAGGACCUGCUGAGAUAAUGGGUGAGUUUCUGGGGCACGUAGAUGCUCCACAGCCGUGAGUGUCCUCCCUGGCUUCUUAGGAGCACUUGGUCCCUGGCAAUUUGCAUUACAUGUUCUAUGAUGUCCUAAGAAUGUGUCCUCGAGAGAACAAUGAGUCCAUGGACUCAGGGACACUGGGCAGGGCCCUAUCUAGGCCUUUGGUGUUUGGCUCCAAGUUCUCCCUUCAUCGUGGGAAUCCAGCUGCAGGCUUGAAAGGCAAUGCUCCUGAGACUGCUCCCCUGCUCUGCCCUCAGCUUCCCUCGGGUGCUCUCCAGCUUGGCUGCACCACCUGUGACCUCACUUCAUUGUGGACACCCUGACCAGGGCCCCAGUGACUGGGGUACCUGGAAAGGCUGUGGAGCCCAGCCUCCUACUGAUAGGAACCUUCCUGCAGGAGCCUUCCAGCUCAGAAAAUAGGCUGCAUGCGGAGCAAGACUAGACUGAGUCUUGACAGGUCGAGGGGAAUAUUACUUAGGAGACAUGGUUCUCUUAUUCGCCUCAGGAACAUUUUUUUUUUGCCUGCAAAAAGCCAGGAGGAUUCUCAGCUUUGCCCAGGUGUUCUCAGGGACAGCCACACAGAAUGUCCCAGAAGCUGAGUGGAAAGCAGUCCUGGGAUACACCCUCUGCAGAGGGAUGGUGAAAGACAACUGGAGAGACGAUUUUGAUGCGGUCACACAGCCAACAGUGACAGUCAUGUAUGUGGCACAGCAUGGCCUCUCGUGCCUGGGGACUGCACAGCAUCACAGGCUUCUCCUCUGCCACCCUGUCCUCAAGCACACCAGUGGAUUGCAGGCCUCCCACGGAGCUCUGCAGAGUGGGUAAGGCAUCCGCCUUCCAGAACCUCUCAGCUUAGCAGGCUGGGUAAGGCAGGCAGUCGCCCCGGGGGAAUGUGAUAAGUGCCCAAAGAGAGAUGUUAGCAGCAUGAUAAAUUAGGUGGUAAAUGCACCAGGCUCUCCGUCCCCGUCUGUUUCAGGCUGGUGGAUGCUGGAUUUGCUUUCGCACAUUUAUAUGGAAAUACAUCUUUGCUGUGGCUUGUAAUUUUCUAGUUGAAUAACUUCAGGGUAGGCCUACUUUAGAAUUUAAUUAUCCUUACGCUGGGAGAGCUUUGCUGAGGUUCAGUGCUCAGAAGAGUGCACGAUUCUAAACAUUGCGUGACACUCACCAUAGGGCACCGUUGGCUGCAGUACAUCACUGUUUUGAGGGUUGUAUGAUAGUGUUCUUAUGUCCUGCUGACCCAGGAGUCAAGAUGGACUGGUCUCAAAUGAAAUUCUGCCCUACCACUAAUCACGCAGCAGGGAGGUUUCUCAUCUACUGGAUACUUAACCAAGAGGUUUUGAAGCCAGACUGAUUUUGGCAACCCUAAUGCAUUGGCUCCACAGUGCUUUUUUAAUGACAGUCCAAGCUAAAUAUGAAAGAUCCAACUGCAGAUUCAUUGUGCACUAAAGGCUUGAAUCUCUAAGUAGUGGUGACAUAGUCCUGUAGGGAAAUUGUGAAUUGAAGCUUCUCAGAAUUAGGCUUCUCAAAGCCGAGGCCCAAUGUAGGAAGAUAAUAUGUGGCUGUCUAGAGUGUGGUGCUGAAAAAGGGUCAGAGGGCUUCUGUGUUCCUCAGAAAAGGGAACUGGGAUUGAUUAGUAAUAUCUGCUUUGAGUUCAGGAGCAGGGACAGUGGCCCAAAUGCCAUGUGUUUGUAAUUAGCCAUUUCCAAGAUACCUCCCAACUUCUGGGCUCUGUGCAGAGAGUGGUGGGGCGGGGAGGGGGCUUUCUCCAAUGUUCUCUCCAUUCACCCUCACUGCAAAGUGUUGAUGCUAUUUCCAUGGGAAGAUGUUCAUGGAAAGAUGUUAAGGAAUCAAAAGCAGGAUUUAAAAGAAACAUACAAUGUAUAAAUAAUUACGAACAAAUUUUAAUAUAUUUGGAAAAGAACCUGGAAGGAAAUAUAUCAUAAUGUUCAUAAUUGUUAUCACUGGGUGAUAAGAUUGUGGAUGGAUUUUGCUUUUUCCUUCAUGCUCAUCUAUAUUUUUCUAUUUUUGUGCAAUGACCCAUAUUCCUUUUUAAGCAUACAUAAAUUAUAUGUGUGAGUUGGUGUGUGCAUUCUUCAAUAUUACAUAUGUGCAGAUUUGGUGGCAUGCUUUUUUCACUUUAUAAAUUCAUCAGGAACAUUAAUUACUCCUCCUCAAUGUAAUUUUUUAGUUACUACUUAAGGUAAUUCUAAGCCUUUUGCUUCAUCUGGGCUGAAAGGUCUGGACAGCAACCUCAUCAUCAUCUCCUCAUAUUUUUUUUUAAAGUAUCAACUUUUAUUUAGAUUCAGAGGAUACACGUGCAGGUUUGUUACACGGGUUUAUUGCAUGAUGCUGAGUUUGGGGUAUGACUGAUCCCAUCACCCAGGUAUUGAGCAUAGUGCCCAAUAGGUAGUUUUUCAGUCCUUGCCCCCCUCCCUCCCUUCCCCCUCUAGUAAUUCCCAGUGUCUGUUUUUCCCAGCUUUAUGUCCAUGUGUACUCAAUGCUUAGCUCCCACUUGUGAGAACAUGCAAAACCCCACCAUGUUUGGUUUUCUGUUCCUGCAUUAAUUUGUUUAGGAUAAAUUAAUUUGUUUAGUAAUCUCCAGCUGCAUCUGUGUUAACUGUAAAGGAUAUGAUUUUGUUCCUUUUUAUGGCUGCAUAGUAUUCCAUUGCAUAUAUGUACCACCUUUUCUUUAUCCGAUCCACUGUUGAUGGGCACCUAGGUUGAUUCCAUGUCUUUGCUAUCAUGAAUAUUGCUGUGAUG